UAGUUUACCCCAUAUCUCUUCUCUACAGCAGUGUUGGUGACUUCCUCCCAUUCACUUUUCUUCCUGCUUGCAUCACGUUUGUCAAUGAUAUAAUGGGUGAUUUCACUGCCACCGUUGUCUAGAGGGGCAUCCCAUGUCAAGUAGCAGGAUUCAGCUUUAAUGUCAGUAACAGCAAGAUUUCUUGGUGGUGAUGGACGAUCUGGAAAGGAACCAAGAGAGGAGAAUGGGAAUGAGAAGACAAUUCUUAAAGAAUUCUUAAAAUUCUCUUAAAUGAGAAGACAAUUCAAAAGAAGACCUUGGGCUUCAUUUUGAUCUGAGAAAACAGGUCCCUUACCAUAUACUUCCACAUGAACGUUUCGGAACACUGAGCCCAGGCGAUUGGAAGCAGUAACCGUCUAUAGAUCAUUGGACUGUUGGGAGUUUGAAGCCAUAAGGCUCAAUAAAUAAAUGACAGAGCUAGAAGCAAACAAUGAAAACCGCUUUUACCUAGUGGAUCAACUGCAAGAAUUGGUCCUAUUUCAACAGGAGGGCCACAGCCAAACUUGUUCUUGGCAAUCACCCGGAACAUAUACUCUUGUCCCUCAAGGAGACCUGUGAUAUCACAUUUAGAUCGCUCGGUCUCUAUUGGUUGUCUCCAGUGUACUGACGGACCUUGAUCAUCUUCUCCGUGCAGCGUGACCAUUCAUUUGUGCCAACCAGCUGCUUAUCAACAUAGUAGCCAACAAUUUCCCCACCACCAUUGAAAGCUGGGGGUUCCCAUUCUAGAUCAAUAGUUGUAGAGCUUGUGUCAGUGACUCUUGGGACAGGUGGCCCAGGUGGAGCUAGAAUAAAUGUGGAUACACAAAUCAAAACUCACUGAAGAUUUUAAAAUGAACAAUACCUUACUCUAUCCACCUUAUUUCCAAAAUGCAUCGCCUAUAAUAUGGAAAUUACUUACAGAUUGGAUCACGUGCUGUUUUGGGAUCUGAAGGAGGACUGAACUUUCCAGGUCCAGCUGCAUUUUCGGCACAUACUCUGAAGACAUAGGCAACCCAUCGAUCAGAACCACGUGGACAUUUUUCAACUAUAUAGCCUUUGAUGCGUGAACCACCAUCAUAUUUAGGUGGAUCCCAUGUUAGGAAGAUACUGUUGGCUGUUCGAUCUCUCCAUUUAACAUUCUCUGGUGGGUCAGGUUCAAGUGUCUUAUCAUCCCUCUUCCACUGGACUUCGAAGUUCUCCUUUGAUAUGGAGCAGACGAAUUCAGCCUUUUCUCCUUCAAGUACUUCAAGGUUUUGAGGCUUUGAGAUAAAUUCGGCAGCAAGUUCUGGAAAGAAGCAGUUGCAUGGUAUUAAAAACUUCAGCAUUUGUACCGUAAGUGCAUCAAGUAUGAAUUCUGAAAAUAUUAUUUAUUAUAGUUUCCAUACCAUGUACUUUGACUUUGCCAUCAGUUCGAGAACUUGGGAGUCGGCAGUUGUAGUUGCCAGCAUCCUCAAGAUGAGCAUUCUGAAUGAUCAGGAUUCUCUUUCGCCCAUCGGUAAGUAUUUCAUAUCUUCCUGUUUCGAUUAUCUCCUCAUCUCCUUUGUACCAAGUCACUUCUGCUCCAGGCUUGGAGACUUCACAAACCAGUUUUAUGGUGUCUGUUUCACUAACUUCAAUGUUGCCAAGAUUUUUUGUAAAGACAGCUUCUUCUGCUGCAAGAAUAGUAACAAGAACAACAUUGAGUCAAACUGAAAAAAAAAAUUUUUUUUCCUGGAACAUAUACUUCUGCAGAGAAAGACUUCACUCUUACCCAGGACGGUGAGCAUGCCAGAAGUUCUUGCUGUCUUUACUUCACAGGAAUAUUCUGCUUCAUCAUCCAGGAGACAUUUGUUGAUGACAAGAAUGCGUACUGCUCCCUUAGAGAUGAUGUCAUAUUUUUUGCCCUUUUUAAUUUCGGCUCCAUCUUUAAACCACUGGACCUAUAUUGAGAUACACAGAUGCUUUAUUAAUUUUCUUAUUGCUCCUUCAUGUAGGUGUCCUUAAGAGGAACUAGGAUCCUGAGUGCUUCUUAAAACUACCACCAGGACUAUGUCAUGAAGAUGAACCAAAGUGGUAAAUACAAGUACAACCUAAACCCCACAGGGCAGGGACAAACUUCUUCAGUUAUUGUUAAGUGAGCUGUUGUGGUUCUGAUAUCAGUUAUUAAAGAUAAUGGGAUCAUGUAAGUUGAGAGCCAUAGAGGGCUUUAGAUAUCAUGCAGACUAAGUCCUUUGUUUUCCCAAUUUGUAAAGGGAGACUCAAAGUUGACUUGCUAUGGUAGUUAAUGAGACAUAUGAAAUUGCAGAUAUUUGUUCUUAGCCUAAGAAAAUAGCAAUUUCAUAUGGCCCAAUCCAAUAAUAUCUAAAUCUCCUGAUUGUGAGUCCAUUGUUCUUCAAGUAGUAGUAAAUGAAUAAUACAACAAAGAAAACGAUGAAAUCAAGUAUAUAUCUCACACCAAAGUAAUAAUCUUUAAUCUAAAGGCAAAGUGAUAAUCAGAGGUAGGUUUGAUUCACUUUCUUUUUUUUCCCCUGUUUUGUCUAGGCCAAAAGUAGACAAUGUAACUGGCAACACAAGAGAGCAACCACACAAGUCACAGACCUUAGCAUUUUCUCGGGAAAUUUCACACUCAAACCGAGCCAUUUCUUUUUCUUUAACUUGAAGAUCAGUGAGUGGUCUUAAGAAUUCCACAUGAGGAGCUGUAAGAGAAGGUCAUCAGAAUUCAAAAUGAGGUUUCUGGCAAUUUACUCUGACAUUACUGUGGUAUAUAUUAAGAAAAAGUCUUUUGCAGGGCUUUUCCAUCUUAGUAGGCUACAGCGGACUUUGAAAGCACUUGGAGCUGCCAUUCAUGUAUGUAUGUUACUUUGCUCUUGUAUUUUGCAUAUCUCUGUAGGUUUCAUAAAAUUAUGUGGAUACUGUAUGUCCAACUGAUUAUAUCUGUAUAUCUAUUACCUAUCAAUCGCUAACAAGGUUUUCCUGAAUGAUGGCUAAAAGAAAAAUUCUCAUUGAUACUUCUUCAGCAUUGAAAGCUGAUAUUGUCAAAGGAAAUACCAGUAGCAAAGAAACAUUAUUUUAAGGCAGGCUAUACAAUCUUUGAGAAAUUAGCAGAAUUCAAUGAUAACGCAGCUUGAAGUGCUAUAACCAGUCUUGCCUAUGGCUAAGAGGCAUGAGUCUACAAUUGAAAUCACACACACUUAACCUUUUUCUUUUCUUUUCUUUUUAAAAUCAGUUUCAAAGAUAUCACACGUGAGUCAGGCAUCUAUUAGUGCAACAAAGCAAUGUGUUCGUAUGGGUGGGUGAUUUUCAGGAUUAAGUCAGCAGAUGCAUAGGAUCAGAGAGCCGCCCCCUUGCCCCUCCUUUUAGGGCUUCUGGUGAGUCCUUCCCAGGAUGAUCAUUCUUGAUCAGUGAAAUUCUGGGACACAAAUGCUGGUCAAUAGGCUUGAAGAUGUGUUCAUUGUGGCUGAGCCUUCUUGGAGUGGUGACAAAGUAGAUGACAAAGGGAUCAAGGAGACCCAAGAAGCUACUCUGUCAUAAGCUAAAAGCAGAGCGACCACAAAGACAAAAGAAUAAAACACAAGAAGCAUGGAAGCACAAUCAAAGCCACUAUUUUGUAGCUGUUGACAGAUGGGAAGCAACUAAACCAAACAGCAGCUAUAGCACAAAAAUACACACUGAUAAAAUGUUAUCACUGGACAAACGAAUGAAAAAAUGAGUUAAUGUGACAUUUAGAAAAAAGAUGUAUUUUUCACCAAAGGAAGAAGUAAUACUAAAAACCAUUAGAGUUCUCUUCAUUCACAGGACUCCAAGAAUCCAGGCUUCGCUCCAUCUUAUUAUCCUUUCUUAUUUUCAGAGAUAGCAUUGUGUAAGCGGGCUUUAUCAUAUUGCAGCAGACUUUAGCGUGAUCCUAUUCGAACUGAAAUUUCAUGCUCAUUUUCUAGUUGUUCCUGACACCUGAGAAUUCAUUUCUUUCCAAGUGGAAAUUGCUUUCUUUCCUUCUUUCCUUUUUUUUUUUUUUUUAAAUAAAAAUGAAAUCAUGACUCCUUUCUUGUCUCUUUCAUCCAAUUUGUCCUUAUCUGUCAGGAUAUUCCUAUAGUAGGGUUACACCCAUAGACAAAGAGUACCUCUGCCCACUAGUCAGAAACAUGGUAAAAGUGAUCAAUAUGUCCUUAUCAGACCAGAUGGAGUAGAAUGAUUUUUCUUUUCUUUCCUUUUUUUUUUAAACACAAAAGAUCAGGUUAUGUCAGUAUUGAUACUAUAAGUUGCUAAGAGAUGCAGUUAGGCCAAGAAGGGCAUGCAAAACGUGGCAGGGCUUUUUUUGUUGUUGUUGUUAUCAAAGAGUUGCAAAUGAAAAGUCCUGUGUAAGAAGAAUACUUACGCACGACGUUCAGGUUACAGGAAGUCUUAAAAUCCUUAGCAUCACAAGUGUAUGUUUUAAUAUCCUCUGGAGUACAGCCGUGUAUAAUAAGUUUUCUGACCCUGCCAUCAGCAACAAUUUCAUACUUCUUGCUUUUGAGAAUUUCUGUCCCAUUUUUGAACCAUUUCACCUUAGCAUUUUCUCUGGAUACUUCACACUCCAAUACUGCAGUGGCUUCUUCUUCGACCGUCUGGUCCUCAAGGGGCUUAGUGAACUCAACGGGGGGUUCUGAAAGAAUCACACUAAUUAGCCAAGGUAUUUUUCCUUUCCUUCUCCAAGACUUUGAGCACCUCCUCAACUUUCUUCUGAUAUCGCCAGGCCUUUUUCUGUUUUUAAAUUUCAUUUGUAAGUUUUGAUUCCACUUGGAUGCUUUCCUCUAAUAAUGAUGUUUCAUCAUUAUUUAUACAUACAGAGGAAAGGUGUUGUUUUAAAAAAUAUGAAACAUCAAGGACAAAGUAGCCAAGUCUUGGUUAAUAAAGUGGUAGAUACCCAGUUUGAUAAUAAUUCUUCCUCCAGCCAUUUAUUGAAAGCCAACAUAAAUGGUGGGGAUAGAAAGAGGAAGUAAGACAUAUUUGAGUCCAUUUUGACUCUCUCUCUCUCUCUUUUAAAUAGUCUGUGAACUCUUUUGUUAAGGCAAAAAGUAAAAUUUGGAUAUUUGGUGGAUUUUAAUGAUCUAUGGUACUCAUCAUUGAGAGUUGACAUCAUUUCUGAAAUGUCUACAUUGUAUGUGUUUAAAAAUAAACCUUGUAAUCACCUUUCACAAAGAGGUUGGCAUGAGUUUUGAAAUCUUUUGCUCGUAGUUGGACUUCUCCAGCAUCUUCUAAUUUUACAUCCCUCAGUGUAAGGGUAUGAACUUUUCCUUCUGAACG